rnacentral:rRNA from 1 species
ACGACUUUCGGCAACGGAUAUCUUGGCUCUCGCAUCGAUGAAGAACGUAGCGAAAUGCGAUACUUGGUGUGAAUUGCAGAAUCCCGUGAACCAUCGAGUCUUUGAACGCAAGUUGCGCCCGAGGCUAUCCGGCCGAGGGCACGCCUGCCUGGGCGUCACGCC